rnacentral:rRNA from 1 species
AAUAAGCGGAGGAAAAGAAACCAACCGGGAUUGCCUCAGUAACGGCGAGUGAAGCGGCAAAAGCUCAAAUUUGAAAUCUGGCACUUUCAGUGUCCGAGUUGUAAUUUGUAGAAGUAGUUUUGGGACUGGUCCUUAUCUAUGUUUCUUGGAACAGGACGUCAUAGAGGGUGAGAACCCCGUAUGAUGAGGCCCCCAGUCCUUUGUAAAACGCUUUCGAAGAGUCGAGUUGUUUGGGAAUGCAGCUCUAAGUGGGUGGUAAAUUCCAUCUAAAGCUAAAUAUUGGCGAGAGACCGAUAGCGAACAAGUACAGUGAUGGAAAGAUGAAAAGAACUUUGAAAAGAGAGUGAAAAAGUACGUGAAAUUGUUGAAAGGGAAGGGCAUUUGAUCAGACAUGGUGUUUUGCGCCCUUUGCUCCUUGUGGGCGGAGGAUACGCAGCUCACUGGGCCAACAUCAGUUUUGGGAGCAGGAUAAAUCUGUAGGAACGUAGCUUUCUUCGGGAAGUGUUAUAGCCUAUGGGAAUACUGCUACCUGGGACUGAGGACUGCGUCUUUUGACAAGGA